rnacentral:lncRNA from 1 species
CCGCUGAACCUAACGAUGCGACAGCCAUAAACUCCAUUACCAAUUGUUUAUUGGCAAUAAACAAAUGGAUGAACGAUAACUUUCUAAAAUUAAGUGAGGACAAAACUGAAGUCCUACUUAUCGGCCCCAAAUCAAAAAGAGAGAUGCUAACGAAGAAUCUAGGAGGUUUAACCCACUGGAUUAAACCUGAGGUGAUAAGUCUCGGUGUCAUCCUGGACUCAGAUUUGAAUUUUAACUCCCACAUUAACAAAGUCACCAAAACAGCUUUCUUUCACCUCAGGAACAUAGCAAAGGUGCGACCAUUCAUAAACCAAAAUGAUGCAGAGAAGCUAAUUCAUGCUUUCAUAUCAAGCCGGCUAGACUACUGUAAUUCACUUUUUGCUGGUUUUCCCAAGAAAACAACUGAAAGACUCCAGCUCAUUCAAAACUCUGCAGCUCGACUAUUAACCAAAACUAAAAGGAGAGAACACAUUAGUCCUGUCCGAGCUUCUUUACACUGGCUUCCUGUUACCUUUAGAAUUGACUUCAAGGUCCUCCUCCUCACAUACAAAGCUCUAAAUGGACAAGGACCUAGCUACAUUGCUAACUCUCUUACUAACUACACACCAGCUAGAACACUGCGAUCAUCAGAUACAGGUCUAUUACAGGUCACCAGAAGCAGUCAUAAGAAUAUUGGCGAUGCAGCCUUUGUCAACUACGCCCCAAAAUUAUGGAACACAUUACCCAUUAUAAUUAGGAAAGCAAACACGCUUCAAAAAGCUUUUACCAAAGCAUUUUAUUAAUUUUCUGUGGGGUUGAUACUAACUGUAACUUUCACUAUUUUUACUAUUUCAGAAGGGUUUUAUUACUUUUAUACCUUGUAUCAUGAUUUUAGUAAUUCAAGAAGCCUAUCGGAACAUCAGGUUCUGAUACGAUAUUGAUCAUUAUUUAACUCCAUGUAUUGCUCUUGCUGCUUGCUUUUAUUGAUUUUAUGUAAAGCACUUUGAACUGCAACUCUUGUACGAAAUGUGCUAUAUAAAUAAAGUCUUACUUACUUACUAUGAGCUUCAUACAAU